AUUAAUAAAGGGGCCCACAAUCAAGUACCUAGUCUUUACUCUUGAACGUUUAGAAAAUGAAAUGCGAAUUUCAACAUCGUGGAAUGCUGCAUUUGGCUUGUCAGCUGCAAAAAUAUUCGCGGGUGCACCAAUUUUAAGUAACCACAUUCAAACUGCACAUUAUUUCUCCAACAGUAGAUGUUGAAUGUAAUACGCCUUUGUUUAUUGAUUACUCAUUGCUUGUGUGGUAGAUAUAAAGUUAGAGCGAGAUCGCAAGUUCAUUAUGAGCGGCGCAUUUGCAAUCCCCGUACUUUCACCUAUGCAAGUACUUAGCUGUCACUAGUGCACAUGCAAUAGCUAUUAAUUUCACUCGCGCAACCAUCAAUCAAGUUUCUUUAACGUGGUGGGAACUGGGUGUAUUAUACGAAUAGCUAGGCAUACCUGUUGUGUCGUCGACGUCAAACUUGAAGUAGGAAACGUUCAAGAGUCCCGAGUCCUGGUGCACGUACAUCAUGUCGGGGUUGAGGCGCGUGAGGUGCAGCACGUACUCCGCGAAGCUGGACAGCGACAGCUGCAGGGUCAGCAUCUUGCGGAACGUCCAGUAGUCGGUGGGCGCGGCGAACGUCGCCCCCGCCCACUCGCGGAGCAUUCCCUUCGGCACCAUCGUGGCUUGGACCUGUCAAAUAAACAAUUUGAAAUUUUCCAUGAAUAGUGUACACAUAUAGUCAUAGUGCUUUAGUCUAAUUCUUUUGUCCGUAGAUCUUGUAGGUUGUAUGAUGCUAAGUUCUCUAAUGCUGACAUAUUUUGCUUGUCACUUGUAGCAUAUAGAAAAGCUAUUUUAAAGUAUUUAUAAGGUAAUUUAGUCUGAUGACUAUUAUAGUUUUAUAUUGUAAGUUGAUGUAUAAAAUAAUAUGUGCGUAUUGUGUUGGUUUUGUUUCUAAAUUUCUCUUCUCUGUUCACUUUCUACUUAUAUGUGAUUUUGAUUGUGGAAACAUAUUUGGUUAUUGUUUUAGCUAUAUUUUUUAAAAUAUUAUAUGUUUGUAUUGUACUAUUUGUUACCAAAUAAAUAAAUAAAUAUUUGUUGGCUAAAAAUAAAUUAAAGAGGAAAGUUUUCGAAAACA